GCUGGGCGUGGUGGCGCACGCCUGUAGUCCCAGCUACUCAGGAGGCUGAGGCAGGAGAAUUGCUUGAACCCAGGAGGUGGAGGUUGCAGUGAGCCAAGAUCGCAGCACUACACUGCAGCCUGGGCAACAGAGUGAGACUCUGUCUCAA
rnacentral:SRP_RNA from 1 species